AUUAACCGAGAAACUGCAGAUGGCUCAUUAGAUCAGUUAUGGUUCAUUGGAGCCAGUUCACGACCAUGGAUAACUGUGGUAAUUCUAGAGCUAAUACAUGCAUCUAAGCGCCGACCCUUCGGGGGAAGCGUGCUUUUAUUAGGAACAAGGCCAGCCCGGUGUCUCGCUUCGGCGUGCCCGGUCUCCGCUGGUGAACUCUAGAUAACCCAGCCGAUCGCACGGUCUCGCACCGGCGACGCUCCCUUCAAAUGUCUGCUCUAUCAACUGUCGAUGGUACGUUAUGCGCUUAUCAUGGUAGUGACGGGUAACGGAGAAUCAGGGUUCGAUUCCGGAGAGGGAGCCUGAGAAACGGCUACCACAUCCAAGGAAGGCAGCAGGCACGCAAAUUACCCACUCCUGACACGGGGAGGUAGUGACAAAAAAUAACGAUACAGGCCUCUUCGGAGGCCCUGUGAUCGGAAUGAGUACACUUUAAAUCCUUUAACGAGGAUCUACUGGAGGGCAAGUCUGGUGCCAGCAGCCGCGGUAAUUCCAGCUCCAGCAGCGUAUAUUAAAUUUGCUGCAGUUAAAAAGCUCGUAGUCGGAUGUCUGGUCGGGGCGGGUGGUCCGCCGCGAGGCGAGCACUGCCCGUUCCCGUGUGCCGUCCCUCUGUUCGGCGUCCUCGUCGGCGGAGCGGGCGGGCGGGAGUUUGAUCCCGGCCAGUCCUCCGGUUGGUCGUGCGGUGCUCUUAGCUGAGUGCCGUGCGAGACUGGAACGUUUACUUUGAGAAAAUUGGAGUGUUCAAAGCAGGCCCAAGUGCCCGAACAGCUCAGCAUGGAAUAGUGGAACAGGACCUCGGUUCUAUUUCGUUGGUCUUUAGAUCCAGAGGUAAUGAUCAAGAGGGACUGCCGGGGGCAUUCGUAUUGCGGCGUGAGAGGUGAAAUUCUUGGAUCGUCGCAAGACGCCCGACAGCGAAAGCAUUUGCCAAGAAUGUCUUCAUUGAUCAAGAACGAAAGUCGGAGGAUCGAAGGCGAUCAGAUACCGCCCUAGUUCCGACCAUAAACGAUACCAACUCGUAAUUCGCCGGCGUUCCUCCCAUGACGCGGCGGGCAACUCUCCGGAAAACCAAAGUCUUUGGUUCCGGGGAA
rnacentral:rRNA from 1 species